CUGGUUGAUCCUGCCAGAGGUCACUGCUAUCGGGGUUCGAUUAAGCCAUGCGAGUCGAGAGGGUUCAGACCCUCGGCGGACUGCUCAGUAACACGUGGAUAACCUGCCCUAAGGUGGAGGAUAACCCCGGGAAACUGGGGAUAAUACUCCAUAGAUUAGAGAUACUGGAAUGUUCUUUAAUCGAAAGUUCCGGCGCCUUAGGGUGGAUCUGCGGCCGAUUAGGUAGUUGUUGGGGUAACGGCCCAACAAGCCCGUAAUCGGUACGGGUUGUGGGAGCAAGAGCCCGGAGAUGGAAUCUGAGACACGAUUCCAGGCCCUACGGGGCGCAGCAGGCGCGAAAACUUUACGAUGCAGGAAACUGUGAUAAGGGAACCCCGAGUGCCCGUAUACGCGGGCUGUCCAGGUGUUUAAAAUGCAUCUGAAGAAAGGGCCGGGCAAGACCGGUGCCAGCCGCCGCGGUAAUACCGGCGGCUCGAGUGGUGGCCACUUUUAUUGGGCUUAAAGCGUUCGUAGCUGGACUCUUAAGUCUCUUGGGAAAUCUGCAGGCUUAACCUGCAGGCGUUCAAGAGAUACUGUGAGUCUAGGAACCGGGAGAGGUAAGAGGUACUCCAGGGGUAGAAGUGAAAUUCUGUAAUCCUUGGGGGACCACCGAUGGCGAAGGCAUCUUACCAGAACGGCUUCGACAGUGAGGAACGAAAGCUGGGGGAGCGAACCGGAUUAGAUACCCGGGUAGUCCCAGCCGUAAACGAUGCGCGUUAGGUGUACCGGUGACCACGAGUCACUGGGGUGCCGAAGGGAAACCGUGAAACGUGCCGCCUGGGAAGUACGGUCGCAAGGCUGAAACUUAAAGGAAUUGGCGGGGGAGCACCAC
rnacentral:rRNA from 1 species